UACGUAGGGUGCGAGCGUUAAUCGGAAUUACUGGGCGUAAAGCGUGCGCAGGCGGUGAUGUAAGACCGAUGUGAAAUCCCCGGGCUCAACCUGGGAAUGGCAUUUGGGACUGCAAGGCUGGAGUGCGGCAGAGGAGACUGGAAUUCCUGGUGUAGCAGUGAAAUGCGUAGAUAUCAGGAGGAAGACCGAUGGCGAAGGCAGGUCUCUGGGCUGACACUGACGCUCAUGCACGAAAGCGUGGGGAGCAAACAGG
rnacentral:rRNA from 1 species